rnacentral:rRNA from 1 species
AUGGCGGUGCAGCAGCAGCGCACGGUGGCGCUCUUCUUGGCCGUCGCCCUUGUGGCGGGGCCAGCCGUCUCCUACGCCGCCGAUGCCGGCUACGCCCCCGCUACCCCGGCCCCCGCUACCCCGGCCCCCGCCACCCCUGCCCCCGCCUCCCCUGCCCCCGCCACCCCUUCCGGCGGCUACGCCCCUAAAGGGCCAGCUGGGACGCAGCCCAAGGCGACGACCGAGGAGCAGAAUGUGAUGGAGCAGGUGAACAACGCCUUCAAGGCGGCCGUGGCGGCCGCCGCCGUCGUCCCUGGGCCGGACAAGUACAAGAAGUUCACCGACACCUACAUCCCGGACGUGGAGAGGGCUAUAGCGGACGUCUUCAAGGGGUCCAACGCCUCAACUUUCACCACCAAGAUCGGCAUGGCCCAGAAGCUCGCCUACGACUCCGCCGACGGCGCCACCCCCGAGGCCAAGUACGACUCCUUCAUCGCCAUCCUCAGCGAGUCCCUCCGCAUCAUCGCCGGCACCCUCGAGAUCCACGGCGUCAAGCCCGCUGCCGAGGAGGUCAAGGGCCCCAUCCCCGUCGCCGAGAUGAAGGCCGUCGACCAGAUCGACAGCGCCUUCAGGAUUGCCGCCACCGCCGCCGACGCUGCCCCCGUCAACGACAAGUUCACCGUCUUCGAGUCCGCCUUCGACAAGGCCAUCAAGGAGACCACUGGCGGCGCAUACGCGGGCUACAAGUUCGUCCCCGCCCUCGAGUCCGCCGUCAAGAAGGCCUACGCCGCCACCGUUGCCGAGGCGCCCGAGGUCAAGUUCACCGUCUUUGAGGCCGCCCUCACCAGGACCAUCGCCGCCAUGUGCGUCGCAGCCAAGGGCGCCGCCGGCGCCACCAACGGAACUGAUGCUGCCGGUGGCUACAAAGCUCCCGCCGCAGAAGCAGCAACCGCCACUCCCACUCCCGCCGCCGAAGCAGCAGCAGCAACCACCGCUCCCACUCCCACUCCCGCCGCCGCUGCCGGUGGCUACAAAGUCUGA